rnacentral:rRNA from 1 species
GACGAACGCUGGCGGCGGGCUUAACACAUGCAAGUCGAGCGGAAAGGCCCGGCUGUUGUGGGGGGGUCGGUAAGCGAACGGGUGAGUAACACGUGAGUAACCUAGCCUUGACUUUGUGAUAACAUCAGGGAACGUGGGCUAAUACCGGAUAGUAGAUCCUGCUGCAUUGGGGGGGUGGGAGAGUUUCGGCUGUUUGGGGUGGACUCGCAGCUUAUCAGCUUGUUGGUGGGGUAGUGGAUGACCAAGCCUUUGAAUGGUAGCCGGGCUGAGAGGGUAACCGGAUCCAUUGCGACUGAGCUAAGGCACAGACUCAUCUGGGAGGCAGCACUGGGGAAUAUUGCAUAAUGGGAGGAAGGCUGACGUAGCACAGCCGUGCGCGGGAUGUGGGGCUUCGGGUUGUAAACUGAUUCUGCCUGUGCCGAAGAGAGAGUGACGGUAACCGGUAAAGAAGCCCCGGCUAACUACGUG